rnacentral:pre_miRNA from 2 species
UAUGGCUUUUUAUUCCUAUGUGAUUAUACAUCCCACUUCAUAUAGGGAUUGAAGCCGUGCA